AUUGAACGCUGGCGGCAUGCCUUACACAUGCAAGUCGAACGGCAGCAUGGAGAGCUUGCUCUCUGAUGGCGAGUGGCGAACGGGUGAGUAAUGCAUCGGAACGUACCGUGUAAUGGGGGAUAACGUAGCGAAAGUUACGCUAAUACCGCAUACGACCUGGGGGUGAAAGCAGGGGAUCGCACGACAUUGCGUUAUACGAGCGGCCGAUGUCAGAUUAGCUAGUUGGUAGGGUAAAGGCCUACCAAGGCGACGAUCUGUAGCGGGUCUGAGAGGAUGAUCCGCCACACUGGGACUGAGACACGGCCCAGACUCCUACGGGAGGCAGCAGUGGGGAAUUUUGGACAAUGGGGGCAACCCUGAUCCAGCCAUGCCGCGUGAGUGAAGAAGGCCUUCGGGUUGUAAAGCUCUUUCGGCCGGGAAGAAAUCACACAGGCUAAUACUCUGUGUGGAUGACGGUACCGGCAUAAGAAGCACCGGCUAACUACGUGCCAGCCGCCGCAGUAAUAC
rnacentral:rRNA from 1 species